rnacentral:rRNA from 1 species
GUGGGGAAUAUUGGACAAUGGGCGAAAGCCUGAUCCAGCCAUGUCGCGUGUGUGAAGAAGGUCUUCGGAUUGUAAAGCACUUUAAGUUGGGAGGAAGGGUAGUAACCUAAUACGUUGCUACUUUGACGUUACCGACAGAAUAAGCACCGGCUAACUUCGUGCCAGCAGCCGCGGUAAUACGAAGGGUGCAAGCGUUAAUCGGAAUUACUGGGCGUAAAGCGCGCGUAGGUGGUUCAGUAAGUUGGAAGUGAAAUCCCCGGGCUCAACCUGGGAACUGCUUUCAAAACUGCAGGGCUAGAGUACGGUAGAGGGUGGUGGAAUUUCCUGUGUAGCGGUGAAAUGCGUAGAUAUAGGAAGGAACACCAGUGGCGAAGGCGACCACCUGGACUGAUACUGACACUGAGGUGCGAAAGCGUGGGGAGCAAACAGGAUUAGAAACCCUAGUAGUCC